rnacentral:lncRNA from 1 species
GUGACUUGUGUAGUCAGGUCAUGUGACCUUGCAUGCAACAUGCUGCUCUCCAAAAGUUUGACCUGCUGUUUUCCUGCUUGCUAUUUUUUGCAAAUCAUCUGUAGUAUACACUGCAGUGUUCAGUAAGUCGAAUGCUAGUGUUCUGUGCUGAACAAAAGUCAUUGGGAUGAGAAUGGAUGAGCAGCAAAGGACAAAAACAAGAAAACAGAAAAACAUUAAGAUCAACAAAAUCCACAGACUGAGGACUGCGCGGACGACACACAACACACAGGUUCUUCGGUUGUGUCCCGUCUGUGCCGAUACGCAUCUUAAUCUACAGUGGAAUCAAGAACAAAACUUAGGAAAUUGUCUUUGGAAAUCUGUGGAUCAGAGGUCAAGCGGAUGAUGAUGUUUGGAUUGUGUCAGAAGAUGAAUCUCCUCAAAUUAAUCUCUUCUGAUCUAGGAGCAUUGUUUUUUUUUUAUUUUUUUAUUUAGAGAAGUGUAAAAUAUUCUGCAUAAAAUGAGUUUUUCAGGGUCAUGACGUACAUUUUCUUUACAAAUAAAUACACCCUUCCCCAUUAUUAUUGCAGUAUUUGUGUAAAUAAACCACAUAUUUAUGUGUAACUUCAUAUAAUAACUGUAAAACUCUUACUGGAACAUUUAUUUAGCUUUAAACGUAACAUUUUGCUUUAAUGUAAUUUAUUUAUUUAUUUACUUAGCUUUGUUUUCUGUCAGCUGUGUUUGAGAAUUCAUAUGAAACCCCUGCUGAAAAAUCCAGCUUAAACCAGUCUAGGAUG